AUUGAACGCUGGCGGCAGGCCUAACACAUGCAAGUCGAACGCAUCCUUCGGGGUGAGUGGCGGACGGGUGAGUAACACGUGGGAACGUACCCUUUGCUACGGAAUAGUCUCGGGAAACUGGGGGUAAUACCGUAUGUGCCCUACGGGGGAAAGAUUUAUCGGCAAAGGAUCGGCCCGCGUUGGAUUAGGUAGUUGGUGGGGUAAUGGCCUACCAAGCCGACGAUCCAUAGCUGGUUUGAGAGGAUGACCAGCCACACUGGGACUGAGACACGGCCCAGACUCCUACGGGAGGCAGCAGUGGGGAAUCUUAGACAAUGGGGGAAACCCUGAUCUAGCCAUGCCGCGUGAGUGAUGAAGGCCUUAGGGUUGUAAAGCUCUUUCGCUGGGGAAGAUAAUGACGGUACCCAGUAAAGAAGCCCCGGCUAACUCCGUGCCAGCAGCCGCCGUAAAAC
rnacentral:rRNA from 1 species